rnacentral:rRNA from 1 species
CCUACGGGCGGCUGCAGUGAGGAAUAUUGGUCAAUGGACGAGAGUCUGAACCAGCCAAGUAGCGUGAAGGAUGACUGCCCUAUGGGUUGUAAACUUCUUUUAUAAAGGAAUAAAACGAGGCACGUGUGCCUUGUUGCAUGUACUUUAUGAAUAAGGAUCGGCUAACUCCGUGCCAGCAGCCGCGGUAAUACGGAGGAUCCGAGCGUUAUCCGGAUUUAUUGGGUUUAAAGGGAGCGUAGAUGGGUUGUUAAGUCAGGUGUGAAAGUUUGCGGUUCAACCGUAAAAUUGCAUUUGAUACUGGCAGUCUUGAGUACAGUUGAGGUAGGCGGAAUUCGUGGUGUAGCGGUGAAAUGCUUAGAUAUCACGAAGAACCCCGAUUGCGAAGGCAGCUUACUAACCUGUGACUGACAUUGAUGCUCGAAAGUGUGGGUAUCAAACAGGAUUAGAUACCCGGGUAGUC